GACGAACGCUGGCGGCGUGCUUGACACAUGCAAGUCGAACGGAAAGGCCUGCUUUCCCUUGUGGAUUGCGGGUACUCGAGUGGCGAACGGGUGAGUAACACGUGAGUGAUCUGCCCCCAACUUGGGUAUAAGCCUGGGAAACUGGGUCUAAUUCCCGAUAGGACUGCAGGGUGGUGCCUGUGGUGGAAAACGAUUUUCUAGUGGUUGGGGAUGAGCUCGCGGCCUAUCAGCUGGUUGGUGGGGUAAUGGCCUACCAAGGCGGCGACGGGUAGCCGGCCUGAGAGGGUGGACGGCCACAUUGGGACUGAGAUACGGCCCAGACUCCUACGGGAGGCAGCAGUGGGGAAUAGUGCACAAUGGGCGGAAGCCUGAUGCAGCGACGCCGCGUGGGGGAUGACGGCCUUCGGGUUGUAAACUCCUUUCGACCGCGAGGAAGCCACCUGGUUGGAAGGGUGGUGACGGUAGUGGUAGAAGAAGCACCGGCUAACUACGUG
rnacentral:rRNA from 1 species